rnacentral:tRNA from 1 species
CAAAAUAGGGCUUGAUUAGUUAAGCAUUUCACUUACGUUGAAAAGAUAUCGUGCAAAUCGAUUUAUUUUGA